CCUCUCCGUUCUCUCCCGAGGCGGCUGGCAGCGCGGAGGGGCUCCGCGUCCUCCACUCCCUCCCGAGGCGGCUGUCAGCACAGAGGGGGAUAUCGGCGCACUCCUCUACCUCUCGAGCCAAGGUGGUAGUAAUCUGUCCCCAACCUCCGGAUUUUCCAAAUUGCAUACGAGUGCGAGGGCAUCGAUGCGGGCACAAGGACGGGAAAUCUCCAACCAUGCCGGUUGGUCAGGUGAGUUCCCGGCGGCCCGAGGCACCGCCGCCCCGCUCGCUCCCGAGGUGGCUGACAACGCAUAGGAGGACAUCGGUGCAGUCCUCUACCUCUAGAGGCGGCGUGGUGCUCUGUCCGCAACCUCCUGAAUCCUGAUCCUCCAAUUAGAAUAUGAGCACGAGGGCAACGGUGCGGGCAGGAGGAUGGGAAAUCUCCAAUCCUGCCAGCUGUUCAUCCGUUUGAGCGAUCGACGGCCAGCGGUAACCGCCGCCUGCUCCUGUUCUGGGCCUGGGGCAUCGUGUGGAAGCCUCCCUGACACUACCCUGGACGAGGACCAUGAAGCCCACGACACCGUCUUCAAAGCUCCAACGAGGCUGCAGUUGGAGACCUUGCUGUACAAAUCCCUGCAACGAAAUAGAUUACAUUAUUGAUGCACCGGUCCCUCAUUUUGUUUUCAAGGGAUUGGGUAUUUCCAAAGUCAAUAUGGUGGAUGAGAGGCCAGGGAAUUAAUUCGAGGUAACACACCUAGCAUAGAUCAGCUCAAAUAAUUGUUCUGGGUAUGUAUCGUUUACUUUCAUGCACACAUUAACCUUGAUAGUUUUCUGGUGCAAAUACUGCUCAUACACAUAUUGGUGCAUUCGGAUUGUGAGCGCAAUAGAAGAUUUCCAAUAUCUAUGUCAAACUGACCUUCAUGUUAAGCAUCCAUUUUGUUGGACCAUUUUACUAUUAAUUACAUUGCUGGCAAACAAUAUGCAACAUGAUCUGUGAGCACGGCUUAGUAGGUAGCCAUUUAAUAUCUCUGGUACCGUAGUUUUUUGUGCAGAUUUUCGUAAUAGUGGGAUCUAUAUAGCCUUUUUCAUAGAAUGAUAAAACUGAAAUCUAAGUACCUUUUAAUAUAUGUGGUAGCAUAGCCCUCUUUUGUGUAGAUUUGUAGAAGGUUAUAACUGAAAUCUAAGCUAAUCAGUGUUCAGAGGCCAUUAAAGAGUACUCUGCACCGUCCUUUUCAGGUCUCUUUUAUUUUUCGCUUCCUCUGACAUAAGAAUCUCUAUUCAGAAAUUAUCUAAUCUUCUUAGACAUGUGUAGUAAUAUUUACAUUUGGAUGCAAGGAAGUACUAUCGAUCUUUAUCGCCUCAUUGACGCUACUCAGUAUUGACCAGGCUAAUUAAAGUUCUUACAAUUCUUGAGUUCACGAAAACAGUUUUAGGGAAUAUACAGGCACAUAUAUUGUUAACUUCAGUGUUACUAUAUGAAAUAUAACUUAACAUCCUAACCCAACAUCUGAACUGUCCAACGGUACAGCAGGGCAUGAUCGUUAUUCAUGCUUCCUAGGCUGUGCAACCUUGGCUGGGGUUGUAGAGAGGCCAGCUGGAGGCACUAAGCAGCCUCGCGCGGGAAAGCUGCCCUACCCCUCUCGGCAUUGAGUCGGUAAUAUCCCUAUCCCAUGUGACUCCCUCUCCCCUAAGAUGUAGUACCUAAUUAAAUUACAUCAUUUGUCAAACCUCUUAGCAUAAGAUUCAGUUUUGGGGGUGCCUUCUAGCCAUAUAUGUGCAAUUUAAUCUGCUCUAUUUUCGACAGGAUAUAGAUGCUAAGUUUUGGAUUCAAUACACUGUAGUCUUGGACAGUUCCUCGGUUUGUUGUAUAGGUAAGCAAGGAUUUUCUGAAUCUUGGCAGGGUUUUUUUAGAUUUAGACAAUUUCAAAGUCAUGUACAUGUUCAAAGACUGUAAUAAGUAUCAAAAUUUCCAGGUUUCCAUAACGAUUUGCUUAGUAUGAUGGCAUUGCAAAACGACAUAAAUAUGAAGUGAAGUGAUGGUGUAGACAGCCAAACAUUACAUAGUUAUAACUAUUUCAAAACAUGGGAUUUCAUGAUGAAGAGGACAGCUUGACCAUUCAGUAAUUGCUGUCCCUAUUGUUAUUUUAUUCUGUUUGAUGAAAUAAUCAGGGACGGUAAACUAUUGACGUGAUCCUUGAAGAUAGUUCUUAAUGCUACUCCUGGCUUUGUUCGUGUUUUCAUUUUUCCAGUAUCUAUAAUUCAAUGUUACAGACGGAGAGCUGCAGGUGUACACUAGCCACAUGUGUGUCUCUGACCAUACCAUGCCAAACCUUUACAUAGUUUAAAUUCAUUAUUGGCCUUAUUUAGGUAACUUCUCUCAUGUAGAGUAAGAAUACAACUUUCUAAUUCUCUUUAGUAAUUAGAAGUACUAAAUGUGUCUUACCUUUUGCUGUCAGAUUUUUGUCUCCAUUGAUUCAAAACGGUGUUGUAUAUUACUUAUUAUAGGAAGUUGAAGACCCCUACAUAAUUAUCUGGAGGACUCUCAGGUCCAGUAUGUAAGCAACAUAGGGUACAAUGACCAUUCUCAUGAGAUGGUCGAAGAUCUUAUUAACACUUCCAUGGUAGGUUACACCAAAAGAACCCACGGUAGAACUUUCCUUACUCUCUAUAUACGAAGUAUUGACUGUCUAUCAGUGAUAAUAGACGGAGUUCAUUCAUAUUGAUUGCAAUUUACUGUUUUUAUGUGUAUGUUAAUUUUAGGAGUAGUUUAGGUGGAUUAUGUAUCGUUUUAGUACUGGUUCAUUUUGACCUGCAAGUGUUUUGUGACAUUUCUCUCCAUCAGUUUUCUACUGGACAAUGUUAUUGAUGCCUGCUUACAGAAAUUUCCUUCAUUAUACAGUUCUGUAACGAGACUUUUGCAGACGCCAAUUCCAUUAUAUAAUCUAAUCCUUGUCUUCUUAUGUUUUACAUUUUUCACUAUUGAUUUUUUCAUGAUUAUUGGAGUAACAGAUCCAGUGCUUUACAUUGGAAUGCCCUUUAGAAUGUUUACAUUGCAGCAUGAUGAAGAUCACUAUUUUGUAGAGGUACAGUGUCUCAUUCUUAUAAACCUUUACAUUUUUUUUCCAAUUGGAGGCUUAGGACGCUGUUUGAGUCUGAAUUUGAUUGUCCCUCUGUUCAAUUUAGUACCACUCUGCAUCUAUGUCAAAUAUUAUAUUUAUGAUUUAUGAGUCAUCGGUAUGCUUAUUAUAAACUUGAAGUGAAUCCUAGGUAAACCUACACACAGUGCCGAAACCUCAAAUAGUCGUUUUGCUUUGAUAUCUGGAUAACAGAUAACCUACAUGUCAGGGCAUCAUCAACCUAGCUAUAGACGAUGUUGUUGGGUUCAAAUACGCUACUUUGUCCAUGUUUACCGAAUUCAGCAACUGUUUCUCAUCUUCUCCUAGCUACUUUGACCAUGCACUUUUAUUUGUUUUGAAGCAGUGCAGGGCCAAGUGUUCUCUUGCAAUUUCCCAAUAUUUUAUUGAAUCUUGAAUGUGGAUUCUCGAGAUCUUCAUCGCACUGAGAGUGGUAUGUAAAGUGAACAGGUUUUGUUUUGUUUGGGGCACCAAGUUUUUACGUAGGUUAAGUUAACUGUCGUAGAUCUUUCUCCCCUGCAAAAAAUGCCGAUUAUUCCUUUUUUACCAAGCUCCCGCUCUUUUCUUUGCCACCAGGAAGCAAUUUUUGAAGGUUUAGUACCAAGGUUAAGUAAUUCAUGUGGUCAGUAGAGUAACACUCUACGUUCUGCCAGAACUUGGGGACAUCAGUGCGAACAUUCUCAUGCUUAAGUAGGCUAAUUGACUGAUUUUUAAAGAUCACUUUCCUAAUAAAACAUUCCUAUGCAGUUCAGAUGCAGUUGAGACUGUUUUUACCCAGAUAUUUCAGUGAAGCCGAAAUCUUUUGUUACCUCUUUUUUGUGAAACCAUGAAUUCUUGGUGCAUGCAAGUCUUAAUGUAAGCAGACACAUCCAUAAUUGUACAAUGCUUAUUUUUAAGCAUUAACCUAUUAAUUGAUCCUUGGUUAACGGAUAGACACUUCAUAAACAGAUAAGCUAAUAAAUAGAGAAGGCAGCUCAAUAGGAUUCAAACGUUCGAUGAGAGUUUUACCAGUUACUGCUUUUAUUUCGACAUGAUAUAUCACUUACGGUCACCUAUCAAUUUGUGAUUUAAAUUUGGUACACCCAGAUGCUUUACCGGAUUCCUUGGUUCCAUUCUUAGAUAUAUAAGAACAAAUAUCUUUAUAGAUCAUGUCCAAAUUUGAAUAUAUUUUUUAAAACUAUAUGCAUUGAUAGAAUCAGAUGUUGUUGAAGCUCUGUCAGCAUUAUUUGUGUUUCUACCACCAAGCGAGUGACCCAUGCAUCAUGUUUCCAACAAAUAUAGGCUAAAAAACUUUCCACCACCAACUUCAUUCUUCCCUUGACAAUUUGCUUGGUGGCUCUGCUUCUGGUAUCCCAUUGUUGUUUGGAUUUUCUACCGUAUUUAUUUGAUAUAUAUGUUUCCAAAGAAUAAUUUGUUCCCUAAAUACAUGCUGGACGAAUUUUUUUUUCUUACAUGAUAGAACAUGCCACAGUAAUUGCUCUCUCAAUUUGUUUAGCUGCUUUGCAUUUCCCCUUCGAUUCAUAUUAGGAUUAAGUGGUGAGGUAGGUAACAUAGCAUCAUAAUCAGCUAGGUUUCUUCCUUGAUAUCUUUCUCUUAAGUAGCUGUUCAACUGUAUAACUAGCUUGAUGGUGUAAAUAUGUACACAACACAGUUAGUUCCAUGUUCUAAAGAUAGUAGAAGAUGAGUUUUGUUAGUCCAUAUAGCCUCUUUUAUUUCCAUGUCCUAACAAGCUUGAAUUUUGGACCUUAUUACAAGAAACAGAAUCCAGCAGGAUUAUUGUGGUAUGCCCUGGUAGAAUGAAAGAAAAUCCCUGUUCUGUCCUCUACUCCUUGGUCAUACACACAGUGUAUGUGAUUUACUAAUGGUGUCAGUGUUUAAAGAAGCUUUGUCUUCACUUACUUGUUCAUCUUUGCACAACAUGUUACUUUGCAGAAACUGUAUUACAUUUUUUGGAGAUGGAGGUUGCCAAAAUUGUUAGCCAGGUCCCUGUUAUUGUCGAUCAAUUCUACAAGAGAAAACUUGGGAAAAUGGUACCACAUGUGCUAGGCUUUACUGUCUUGGCAGUUCUGAAUCGCAUGGUGUGCUAUGGUUUAAUAAAAAAAUUUACUGUAAAUAAAUCGGCAAAGCACAAGUAUGUCUUCAUGCUAGCACACCUCCCCUAUGUAAAGCAUAAGUAUGUGCUAGGCUUUUCUGUCAGUUCUGAAUCGCUUGGUGUGCUACGGUUUAAUAAAAAAAUGUUGCUGUAAAUAAAUCGGCAAAGCACAAGUAUGUCUUCAUGCUAGCAUACCUCCCCUUUGUAAAGCAUAAGUCUGUGGU